GAUGUGGCUCAAGUGGUAGCGCGCUCGCCUGGCAUGCGUGCGGCCUGGGUUCGAUGCUCAGCAAGACA
rnacentral:tRNA from 1 species